rnacentral:rRNA from 1 species
AGUGAACGCUGGCGGUAGGCCUAACACAUGCAAGUCGAACGGCAGCACAGUAAGAGCUUGCUCUUACGGGUGGCGAGUGGCGGACGGGUGAGGAAUACAUCGGAAUCUACUUUUUCGUGGGGGAUAACGUAGGGAAACUUACGCUAAUACCGCAUACGACCUACGGGUGAAAGCAGGGGAUCUUCGGACCUUGCGCGAUUGAAUGAGCCGAUGUCGGAUUAGCUAGUUGGCGGGGUAAAGGCCCACCAAGGCGACGAUCCGUAGCUGAUCUGAGAGGAUGAUCAGCCACACUGGAACUGAGACACGGUCCAGACUCCUACGGGAGGCAGCAGUGGGGAAUAUUGCACAAUGGGCGCAAGCCUGAUCCAGCAAUACCGCGUGGGUGAAGAAGGCCUUCGGGUUGUAAAGCCCUUUUGUUGGGAAAGAAAAGCAGCAGGUUAAUACCCCGCUGUUCUGACGGUACCCAAAGAAUAAGCACCGGCUAACUUCGUG